rfam:Termite gut metagenome tgut2b_Contig37296, whole genome shotgun sequence.
UCCAUCGCGAGGUGGAAUCUGAAGGAAGCCGGAGGCAAAGUCCCGGGCCGACGAACAGAAAUCGCAUAUAAGGCAAUGCAAGGCGGACGAGUUUGCUAAACAAAACGAAGUCCUAAAGACCGGAUUGUGAAUGACCUCCGGUUUACUGCCCGAACCUUGCAGUGUAAAUGCGGCGGCCACAUGGGAUGAAGGUUAUUGAC